UGGGGAAUAUUGCACAAUGGGCGCAAGCCUGAUGCAGCAACGCCGCGUGAGGGAUGACGGCCUUCGGGUUGUAAACCUCUUUUAGCAGGGAAGAAGCGAAAGUGACGGUACCUGCAGAAAAAGCACCGGCUAACUACGUGCCAGCAGCCGCGGUAAUACGUAGGGUGCAAGCGUUGUCCGGAAUUAUUGGGCGUAAAGAGCUCGUAGGCGGUCUGUCGCGUCUGCUGUGAAAUCCCCGAGGCUCAACCUCGGGCCUGCAGUGGGUACGGGCAGACUAGAGUGCGGUAGGGGAGAAUGGAACUCCUGGUGUAGCGGUGGAAUGCGCAGAUAUCAGGAAGAACACCGAUGGCGAAGGCAGUUCUCUGGGCCGUAACUGACGCUGAGGAGCGAAAGCGUGGGGAGCGAACAGGAUUAGAUACCCUGGUAGUCCACGCCGUAAACGUUGGGCGCUAGAUGUGGGGACCAUUCCACGGUUUCCGUGUCGCAGCUAACGCAUUAAGCGCCCCGCCUGGGGAGUACGGCCGCAAGGCUAAAA
rnacentral:rRNA from 1 species